UCGUUGCCAUCUUCAAAUGCACCGGCAGCUGCAUGCUGCCCAGCAGAUAAAUUUAAGUCAAUGCAGAGAGUUUGUUUGCUGUCAUGCUGCACGGAAUAUUGAACUCAUUCGGUUGCAGCUGGUAGGCCAGAUAUUGAAUCUACCCUGCCGUCUGCUUAAGUGAGCGCAUCUUGCCCAGAACCUGCUAGAAGGUUUCAUUCCUAUGGAAACCUCAAAAUAACAGGAAGAAUAGUAAAUAAUACGUUCAUUGAAAAAAUAUGAAGGAAUCAUGUUGACGUAAUGUGUUAAAUUUGAACUACCAAUGUCAUUUGGUUAGGAGAAUAACCUACCUGAACUGCUUGUUACGAAUUCAAGAUUCUACAUUUACCAUAAUAAGUCUACCAAUUGUGAUUUCCAAGAAUCUAUUUAUGAGAGUUUUUCUAAAUGAUUUACUAGAAUCUACGUACCUUGUAUGUGAUUUAUGGUAUACAUGAUUACUAGAAUCUGCGCCCCUUAUAUGUGAUUUACAAUAUUUAACUUCAGAUGAUAACCGCAGUGGCGUCAGAAUGAUAACAAGAAGAUAAUCAUGCUUUUGUAUAGUCCUGCCUUGGGUUUAUAUGGAACCAAAUUUACAAGAAUUAAGUAACAAGAAUCUAUGCAUUUACUAUAAUAUAAUGAUAACAAAGAAGCACUGACCCAAAAGAUGACCAAAGACUAAUUGACAUUGUUUUUGCCUACUGAACACAAUGAUCAUUCUAGUAGUGGAUUAGUAAUAGAAGGAAACUAGCUUGCAGGCUAAAAAAAUAUUGUUACUGCUCUAUGAUUGAGUUGCCACGAAAAAGGUGAUGAUGAAAUCGAUCUGAAUAACGCUCAUGCUAACACAAUCUUCAGAAAUCAAACUACUGUAUUGGGAGCGGGAUUCACUCUGGCACUCUGUAGUCUACCGCUUCCUUCUGCUUAUAAAAUAAGACAAUAAAACACUAAUUAUGCUUACAACUGGAUUUCCAUUGGCAGUAAUUUGCUCCAUCUCUUGUGCGUGUGCGCUGCGACAGAGAUCCAUCAGCUACGGCAGGAAAAUCGAGUAGCUGAUAUGGGUGCACGGGUGAUGCUGGUACCGUUCCGGAUCGAGGUGCACGGAGAUCCAUCAACAUUCAUUCUGCAUGCAGCAAUAAAAAUUGGGGGUUUGUCACAAAUUUGAAGCACAAAACAGACGAAUCGAUGCAAGCUAAGAAGUCCCUACCCAUUCAGAUAAGUAAUUAGCAUGGAUUCCUAAAUUUGCAAAAAUACUGACCAAGUUCUGACACAAUUCAAAAUUGUAGUUCCGUGAUACAUAAGGGACAGAUCCACACAAAUGAACAACUCUUAAACAUGUUGAAAUCAGCUUGCUUAAAAAAAUAGUAAAUUAUAUGGUGAAUUUACCAAGGAACCUGAAGGUCUCCUACAAUUACCAUAAUUGUUUAUAGUACAAUUACGAGAACUGAUGGAAAAAAACUGAGUAAAUGGUAUGAUAUAUUUACAAUAGCACUGUGUACCUAAAGACCAUCGACUCUCACUGAGAGAAAUUACGAGAAUUGUAAAAUAACUAAAAUUUUAGUUAUGAAAAGAAGGGCAUGUGGUGCCAAAGAUAUUCGUAUUUGAAUUGCUGCAAAGAAAAGGUUAAAAUUAGUGAUGAUGAAAUCCAUCAAAACAAACUGCUUUUAUCGAGAGAGGGAAUUAACUCGUGUAAUCAUAUUCUGAUUUUAGCUUCAAUUCGUACUACAAUCAAAUCAGAUGAAAUGGAUAGAAUGGGAUAGAUUAGGCUUACCAGGACCGCUUGGCAGCCUAAUCCGUGAGGACGACACGACUUGGCUGGGGUCUCACCAUCAACGAGCCGCCGGGAUCUGACGCCAUCGCCGGCGACCUGCUCCCAAUGAGGUAGGCGAUUCUGGAGGGUGCUAUCUUCGCGGAGGGAAAGGGCGGCCGUCGGGUUGCCGCCAGGGCAUCGUCGGGCCACCAUGGUUCCAAGCGAUGGGAGUCUCCCACACACAGAGAUCCAAGGUCAUAGUCUCGCACAUACACGGGGAGGAGGCCAGCUUCCCCGAGUCCUAGCAGCGGGUCACCAUGGAAGCUGUGUGGGAGAGUGGCGAAGGGGCAGCGGAGGUCACCAGAGCUGCACGCCGCGCCGCCAUCAUGGGGAGUGGCACCUGCUUUUCGCGACGGAGGAGCCAGGGAUAAUGAGUCACGCCAUGUCGCCUAUCUUGACAACCUCCCAUACCAGGAGGGAAC
rnacentral:lncRNA from 1 species